rnacentral:rRNA from 1 species
UCUUCCUACGGGGGGCAGCAGUGGGGGAUAUUGCACAAUGGGGGAAACCCUGAUGCAGCGACGCCGCGUGGGUGAAGAAGCGCCUCGGCGCGUAAAGCCCUGUCAGCAGGGAAGAAAAUGACGGUACCUGAAGAAGAAGCCCCGGCUAACUACGUGCCAGCAGCCGCGGUAAUACGUAGGGGGCAAGCGUUAUCCGGAUUUACUGGGUGUAAAGGGGGCGCAGACGGCGAUGCAAGCCAGGAGUGAAAGCCCGGGGCCCAACCCCAGGACUGCUCUUGGAACUGCGCGGCUAGCGUGCAGGCGGG